UACGUAGGGGGCAAGCGUUGUCCGGAAUUAUUGGGCGUAAAGCGCGCGCAGGCGGUUCUUUAAGUCUGGUGUAUAAGCCCGUGGCUCAACCACGGGACGCACUGGAAACUGGGGGGCUGGAGUGCAGGAGAGGAAAGUGGAAUUCCACGUGUAGCGGUGAAAUGCGUAGAGAUGUGGAGGAACACCAGUGGCGAAGGCGACUUUCUGGCCUGUAACUGACGCUGAGGCGCGAAAGCGUGGGGAGCAAACAGGAUUAGAAACCCUAGUAGUCC
rnacentral:rRNA from 1 species